GCCGCGUUAGCUCAGUUGGCAGAGCAUCCGCCUUGUAAGCGGAAUGUCGGGAGUUCGAUCCUCCCACGCGGCU
rnacentral:tRNA from 1 species